rnacentral:rRNA from 1 species
CCUACGGGAGGCAGCAGUGGGGAAUAUUGCACAAUGGGCGAAAGCCUGAUGCAGCAACGCCGCGUGAGCGAUGAAGGCCUUCGGGUCGUAAGCUCUCUCCUCAAGGAAGAUAAUGGGGGUACUUGAGGAGGAAGCCCCGGCUAACUACGUGCCAGCAGCCGCGGUAAU